rnacentral:rRNA from 1 species
GCAGCUACCAUGCAGUCGACGGUGAGCAGAGCUUGCUCUGUGGAUCAGUGGCGAACGGGUGAGUAACACGUGAGCAACCUGCCCCUGACUCUGGGAUAAGCGCUGGAAACGGCGUCUAAUACUGGAUACGAGUAGUGAAGGCAUCUUCAACUACUGGAAAGAUUUUUCGGUCUGGGAUGGGCUCGCGGCCUAUCAGCUUGUUGGUGAGGUAACGGCUCACCAAGGCGUCGACGGGUAGCCGGCCUGAGAGGGUGACCGGCCACACUGGGACUGAGACACGGCCCAGACUCCUACGGGAGGCAGCAGUGGGGAAUAUUGCACAAUGGGCGAAAGCCUGAUGCAGCAACGCCGCGUGAGGGAUGACGGCCUUCGGGUUGUAAACCUCUUUUAGCAGGGAAGAAGCGAGAGUGACGGUACCUGCAGAAAAAGCGCCGGCUAACUACGUGCCAGCAGCCGCGGUAAUACGUAGGGCGCAAGCGUUAUCCGGAAUUAUUGGGCGUAAAGAGCUCGUAGGCGGUUUGUCGCGUCUGCUGUGAAAACCCGAGGCUCAACCUCGGGCCUGCAGUGGGUACGGGCAGACUAGAGUGCGGUAGGGGAGAUUGGAAUUCCUGGUGUAGCGGUGGAAUGCGCAGAUAUCAGGAGGAACACCGAUGGCGAAGGCAGAUCUCUGGGCCGUAACUGACGCUGAGGAGCGAAAGGGUGGGGAGCAAACAGGCUUAGAUACCCUGGUAGUCCACCCCGUAAACGUUGGGAACUAGUUGUGGGGUCCAUUCCACGGAUUCCGUGACGCAGCUAACGCAUUAAGUUCCCCGCCUGGGGAGUACGGCCGCAAGGCUAAAACUCAAAGGAAUUGACGGGGACCCGCACAAGCGGCGGAGCAUGCGGAUUAAUUCGAUGCAACGCGAGAACCUUACCAAGGCUUGACAUACCCGAGAACGCU